rnacentral:rRNA from 1 species
UACGGGGGGGGGCAAGCGUUGUUCGGAAUUACUGGGCGUAAAGGGCUCGUAGGCGGCCAACUAAGUCAGACGUGAAAUCCCUCGGCUUAACCGGGGAACUGCGUCUGAUACUGGUUGGCUUGAAUCCGGGAGAGGGAUGUGGAAUUCCAGGUGUAGCGGUGAAAUGCGUAGAUAUCUGGAGGAACACCGGUGGCGAAGGCGGCAUCCUGGACCGGUAUUGACGCUGAGGAGCGAAAGCCAGGGGAGCAAAGCGGG